ensembl:lncRNA
CGGCGCCGCCCCUCCGGCCGCACCUCCGGCGCGGAAAGUUGCCCGCCGCCUGCCGCGCGGCCCCUCCCCUCCGCCGGCUGUUUGCGUUUAAAAUCCGCCCCCAUCUUUAAAACGGGGCUCCGGGUCUCUGCGGCCGCCGCCGCUCCCGGCCUCCCUUCCCCCACCCCUCGCGUCCACGCGGGCCCCGGCGCCCCCCGGGGCGGACGGACACCCCAAGUCUGCGUCUGAUCGGCCGCGGGCUUCCCGCGCCGGCGGCGAGGAGCCGCUCAGAUUCGUCUGUGCGCGCUGCUGCGUCGGUUUCGGCCCCAGACCCUCGCCGCCCGCCGGCGGGCUUCUGCUCCCCGGGCCGGGGCCCGAGCGCCGGCGCUGGGCCGCCGCGUACGCGGACGGAAGGUGUGUCCAGCCGCCCAACGGCCCGGGACCCUGCGGAGGCCGGCUUCGCGGCGGGGGCAGGGGGCACGAGGCGAAAAGCAACUUUUACCCGCUUGCGGCUCCCUUCCGCGGGCUCUUCCCGGGCCGGCACCGCGAUCCGCGACCCUCAGACGGAGACCCCUCCCCUAGGAAUGUGGCCUCUCUCGGCCGAGUCCGCCCUUCUGCAGUCCGCGCCGCGCGCGUUCUAGGACUUCCCCGGGCAGGUAACGGGGGCGCCGCCUGCGCGCUCGGGCCGGGGCGCAGGGGCGCAAAGGGCUCGGGGGAGGGUCCCGGCGCCGGGCCGGGGAGAGAGGGGGAGCGCGCCCCGCGGUCCACCUGCCGGGUCCCGGGGGUGGGGGGCGCUCUGAGUCGUCCAGGAGAGCGACCCCGCCGCCCACGCCCGCACCCCGGCUGCUGCCCGAGGGCCCCUCGCGGGGCGGCGAGACUGUCCCCCACGCCCUCCGCCCGCAUUCCUUGGCGCGGGGUGGGCCAAGCACCGGCCGGCGCCCUCGCGCCGCGGGCCCCUUGCCCCGGGGAGCGUAGGUCAGUCUGCGGAGCUCUCACUCAUUGCCUCUGGGCUGUGCUUUGCAGACUUUGGGGACUCAGAUUGCUCCUCCCCACCCCCAAGCAGAUUUUUACAAAAAGGUGUCCAAGGGAAAAUCCUCCAGGACAUCGAGACUUGCGAAAUUGUAUUCUUUGUGAAUGCUGUUGAAAGGCUCUGAAAUUAGAAAAACGCACAGGCAUUAAACGCCCCGUUCAGUGCAAGGGGAGGGCCUGGGGCCUUGGGGUCCACCCAACUUUUCCGCUCCUCCAGACCCUAGGAGAAGCCUCUCUCGAGGAACCUGGACGCUUGCUGACAUAAGCCCUGCCCCCGGGGAGUUAAAAACUCCACCAGGCAAUCGUCCCGGCCAAAAGAGAAGAGUGGGGUGUAGACUCAUUAAGAGAUUGGCCCGGGGUCAGCAGUGAGGGAGGGAGCGAGGUAAUGAGUCACUCCAGGCCGGCCUCCCCUGAGUCACCGCUUCUCUGAGCUCCGAACGAGUUGGGAAACUGGAGCCUGGAGCCAGGUUCUUAGACAAUCCAAGCCCCACCGUCCCUGCUGCCGGGAGGGGCAUUGACCCGGGGGGCGCGGAGGCCGCGCUGCUCUCGACCCUCUAGCCCUUGCCCGCUGGGAAAUGGACCGUCUCUCUGGGCUAGAGAAGGCUCCAAAGACUCCUCUCCACAGGGUAGCCAGUCACUCUGUUUCCAGUCCCACUUCUGCACCUGGCUACCCACUCCUGUGCACUGAUUUAUUGCUUGCCCUGUGUUUACCCGGGACGUUUAUAUGUGUGGUCUGAGUUUCCUAUAAUUCAGCACUCAGUAAGCGGAGGACAACAACUGUGGCCGGACCAGCAUCUCUUCAGUAGGUACUUUUCUUGGCCCUGUGUGGGCCUGGACCCAGAGAAGAGUGAUGUUGGCGACUUGCACCCAUUCAUCCAAUCCAAGGUGCAUCAGGCCAGUCCUCCUCCAAGACUGUGACCUGAACAGAAAACCCUACAAAGUCCUCUCCCUGCCUCUACUUUGCCCCUGACAGUCUCUUCUCUAUCUGACCAACCAACCCAGCGAGGUCUGUGCAAGGUUAAUUGUAUCACCUAACUCCUCAGCCGCAGGGAAGGUGUCUCCAACACCUUAGAAUAAAAUCAGAAUUCUAACUAGCCUAUGAGCUCCUGGGACUGCCCCCUCACCAUGACAGCACACUGUCCUUCUGUGUCCCCUGCAAGCCUCCCUCCAGCUGGAUCCUUGUCCCCCAGAUGGGACGAUCAUCAUCUGUUCAGCACUCAGGGCGCAGCUCAGAUGGCACCUCCUGGAAGAGACUUUUCAUGAUUCCCUUAACCAGAGCGGAGUUAGAAAUGUUCUUGUCUGUGUGUCAGUUGAUUGAUUGUUAGAUCUGCCCAGGGCCUUGGAGAAUGAGCUGCAUAGGGGCACAGGCUUUGUCCGGCUUGCUCACUCAGCGCCUCCACCAGGGCCUGGAACAUACAAAAACAUUUCAGCAAACAUUUGUUGAAUGAAUGACCAAACCUUAAUGAGAGUGAGGGGUGGUGGUGAGAGUGCAGAAGCAUGGAAUGAGCAGCUGAAGGUGGGGCGCACCAGAACACUCGGAUUAUACACAGCUGGAGGCAGGCAGGCAGGAUUGGAGUUAAAGAACACAGACUCCUUGACCACCAUUAAUGGGACUCCAUUCUGAUUCUAAUCUGAUGAGCGACAGCUUCAGAUAACUCCCCAGUCACCCCUCUUUGCUUCCUGCAUGUUUUCAGCCCCACAAAGGAUGUGUCUUCUUCCUUGCAGCCCUGCAGCUCAGCCCUUGGGUCUCUCUUACUCAGCUACACCGCCUCCCCUUCCCAUCCAGCCUGUGCUGUGCGAAGUCACUUCAGUCAUGUCUGACUCUGUGGACUAUACCUCCGAAGCUCCUCUGUCCAUGGAAUUCUCCAGGCAAGAAUACCGGAGUAGGUUGCCAUGCCCUCCUCCAGAGAACAGUUCUGACCCAGGGAUCAAACCCAUGUCUUUUAUGUCUCCUGCAUUGGCAGGUGGGUUCUUUACCAUUAGCUCCACCUGGAAAGCCCUUCUUCCAGGCUUGAGGCUUUAAAUACCAUCUUUACCCUGAGAAAGAACUCUAAACCUGUAGUUCAAGUCCAAAGCUUUUUCCUGAGCUUCAGACUCUUAGCCGACAACUUCUUAGCAUCCCUACUUAAAUCUCUGAUAGACUCACACUUACAUGUCCAGAGGGGCAUUCUUGACCUCCCCCGACAAAAGUGCUCCACCAUGGUCUUCCCCAGCUCCACUAUUGUAACUCCGUCCUUUAAUUGUUCAGGCCACAGUCACUCCUGUCUUUCAAACUCCAUCUUUAAUCAGCCUUCUUUAUGGUCCAGCUUUCACAUCCAUACAUGACUACUGAAGAAACCGUGCAUUUGAGUAGACAGACCUUUGUCAGUAAAGUGAUGUCUCAGCUUUUUAAUACACUGUCUAGAUUUGCCAAACCCUUGGAGGAGGGUAUGGCAACCCACUCCAAUAUUCUUGCCAGGAGAAUCCCCAUGGACCGAGGAGUCUGGCAGGCUACAGUCCAUGGGGUUGCAAAGAGUCAGACAUGACUGAAUGACUAAAGCACAGCACAGAUUUGCCAUAGCUUUUCUUCCAAGGAGCAAGGGUCUUUUAAUUUAUUUUCACUUAUAAUAAUCUUUAUUUUAAAGUCUGUUUUGUCUGAUGUGAGUACUGCUACUCCAGCUUUCUUUUGAUUUCCAUUCCAUGGAAUAUUUUUUCCAGCCCCUUACUUUCAGUCUGUAUGUGUGCUGGGAAAGAUUGAAGGCAGGAGGAGAAGGGGAUGAUGACACAGGAUGAGAUAGCUGUAUGGCAUGAGUUUGAGCAAACUCCAGGAGAUAGUGGAGGACAGAGAAGCCUGAUGUGCUGCAGUCUGGGGGUCACAAAGAGCUGGACACAACUUAGUGACUGAACAACAACAAUCUAUAGUAGUCAGAUUCUUAAACAGAAAGCAGAAAGGGUGAUUGCCAAGGGGUAAGGGGAAAGAAGAACGGGGAUUUGUUAACUGGAUAUACAGUAGAGUUUUCAGUUUAGUGAGACGAAAAGACUUCUGGAGAUUACAGAACAAGGUAAAUGUACUUAACAUUACUGAACUGUACAACUGUAAAAUGGUAAAUUUGUUACGUAGUAUUUAGCACAACUUUUAAAAUUUUUGAUGGUUAAGAUGGUAAAUUGUGCGUUUUACCACAAUUUUUAAAAGAAAAACAAAAAUGUAAAAAGACAAACCAUGCAAAAACUACCAAAAGAAAGUAGGCUUUAUGGCAAAAAAAAGCAUUGCUAGAAGUGAGGAGGGACACACUAUGAGAAAGGUAUUCAUCACCAAGAAGACGUAGCAGUUUCGCAUUUGUGUGUGCCUAGCACACGUGGCCUCACCACAUACGAGACAAAGGAAGGAGCAUGGGCAGAGUCACGAAGAGGUGGAGACAAACCUACAAGUAUCGUGCGAGAUGUGCGUAUCAGUAACUGUUCCGAGGAGCAGAUGGAGAUGGUAAGAAGCAGACUUGACCUAAAAGAUGCAUAUUAUAGAUAGAUAGAUACAGAAUCACAGAUCACAGAGUUUUCCCAAGUAGGCAUGGAAUGUUUAUGAAUAUGCUGGGCCAUAUAGCAAGUCUCAACAAAUUUCAGAUGCUCUAAGUCAUAUAGAGUACAUUCUCAGACAGUGAUGCAAUUAAGCCAGAAAACAAGAGAAAAAGUAAGUAGAAAAUAUCUACAUAUUUGAAGUCUAUAUAUACUCCUGAGUAACUGAUGGAUUUGGAAAAUCACAGUGGGAACUAGAAAAUAUGCUGAAAGUUUUGAAACUUACAUCCUGUAAUCAAGAUGUCAUUAGGGCCAUGCUAACUUGGAAAGUUUUUUAAAGCAUAUAUUAAAAAAUAAGCUUGAAAUACAAAUAAAGUACUUUUCAUGAGAAGUUAGAAAAACAGCUAAUUAAGCACAAAGAACGUGCAAAUAAAUGGAAAUAGUCAAAAGUUAAUUGAAAAGUGAUAAAAUGAUAAACCCCUCAUGGGGGACUAAUUAAAGCACAAAUAGCAAAAAAAUGAAAACAUUUGUACAGAUUUUUCAAUCAUUAAAAAGAUAAUGAGAAUAUUAUGAACAGCUUUAUGACAAUAAGUAUGAAAAUUUGAUUGAAAUAAACAAGUUUCUUGAAAAUACAGUUUUUCCAAACUGGCACAAUCAGUCCUACAUCUGACUGGUCUUAAAUCCUCUAUUUUAAAUUAAGUCUAUAAUUUUAAAUCUUCCUACAAAGAGAACUCCAGGCCCAGACAGCUUCAUCAGUGAGUUCAGUGAGUUGUGUUUAAAGAAAAUAUAGCACCAAUCUUCUUUUCAAAGAAUAGAAAAAGGAAAUAGUCCCUAACCAUUCUAUGACGGCCACACUGCCUUGAUACUAAAACCUAGCAAAGACAUUACAAAAAUAUAACAACCUAAUCUCACUCAUAAACUUUAAAACUAAACAAAUGAUCAGCAGAAUGAAUCCAGCAAUGUGUAAAGCUGAUGUACCUCACAACCAAGGUGGAGUUUUUGAUGAAUGUUACUUUGGUUUGACAUUCAAAAAUCAGAAAAAGAUGUUGAAUAAAGUUCAGCACUACUUAUGAUUUUUCUUGAUGUAAGUACUAGCAAAGUAGGAAUAAAGAGGAAUUUUCUGAACUUGAUAAAUGGCGUACACACUCUUCAACAAACACACUAAGUAGUGUACAGACGUGUAAGUAUCUUACCAAGUAGUGAAAUGCUAAAUGCUGUUCCUUUGGCUUGACAGCAAGGAUGCCUACCCUGACCACUUCCAUUCACUAUCACAAUGGAGCACCAAGCCUGUGCAAUAAAUAAUCCAGAAACAAAAAACAACAAAAAAACCCUGAAAGGUGUAGGUCUGAAAUGGAAGAAAAGGUGUUUACAAGAUAACCUGAUACGUGUGUUUAAAAACCCACAAAUGCACAAUGAGAAUUAACAAGUGAGGUUGGCAAGGUUGUUAAUAUUCAAAUGUAUUUCUACAUGCUAGUAUAUCCUGUAUAAAGCAAUAGUCAGAAUACAAAAAGUUUAAAAAGAGAUUUACACACGUACAGCAAUGUCUAUAGCAGCGCUGUUUCAAUGACCAAGGCAUGGAAGGUGACUCAGCCGCGAAACACAGUGACAUGCUGCCCUUUGCAGCAACAUGGGUGGGCCUCGAGGGGACCACGCCAUUCGAGGGGAGCAGGUAAAGGAGGUUAGUGUAUGACAGGACUUACAGGUGGCGUCUCAUGCCAUUCGAGGGACGUCAGGUAAAGGAGGUUAGUGUAUGACGCGACUUACAGGUGGCAUCUCAUGCCAUGCGAGGGACGUCAGGUAAAGGAGGUUAGUGUAUGACACGACUUACAGGUGGCGUCUAAGAAAUAACACAAACGAACUUACUUACAAACAGAAAUAGCCUCUCAGUCAUAGAAAACAAACUUACGGUUACCAAAGGGGAAAGUGGGGAGGGAUAAAUUAGUGGUAUGGGAUUAACAGAUACACAUCUCUAUAUGUAAAACAGAUAAACAGGUAUUUACUGUAUAGUACAGGGAACUGUAUUUAAUAUCUUGUAAUAACCUGUAGUGGAAAAGAGUCUGAAAAAGUGUGUGUGUGUGCAUAUAUAUACACACACAUAUAUAUAUGCAUGCAUCACUUUGCUGUACACCUAAAACACGAUCAUUAUAAAUCAUCUAUAGUUCGAUUUUUUUAAUUUAAAGGUGAUCACACAAAAAAAAGAUAGCCUACACAGUGGCAAAAUAUUGGCUACAUAAGAAUAUAUGAGUUGAAACACAUACCAGAAUUCCAUGCAAAACUAAGUAUUCUGGGAGGGAAUGAAGGAAAGCCUGAAUAAAUGAGAGGGCGCCAUGCGUGGCAGACGGGAACCGUCUUCUAGUUGCCCUUCAGGAAGGAACUUUCCGUUCAGCUGUGCAGGUGUGGCCUGCCCGAAGCCUCCAGCUGCAGAGAGCUCCCUUCCCUGAGGUGACAUAGGUCCCAGAGCUGCAUACAACCAGUGAGAAGCGAGGCAGGGACAUACUUAGGGCCAUUUUUACCAAAUACAGGACACCCCAAAAUCCUGAGCAACUCCCUGCUGCCUUGACUGGAGUUCUGUGGGGCCGGCAUUACUGUCUGGCCCCUUCCUAAGCCUUAUCUUGCUGCCUUCGCUUCCUCCCACAAGUGUUGAUCCCUCAUAAACAUUGUGCACCUCAACUCAGCCUCUGAAGACUAACCUGUGAUAGCUGACUCAGGAGAGGUCUCAGAGAGCAAGUGAUGAGAUGGGUUCAGAGGAGGCCCCCCACCCUGGUGGAGGCAGGUGGGUCUCAGGCAGUGCUCUGCACAAGGUGCUGGUUCAGUUGUUCACACUCUGUUGGUACAUGAGGGGGUGUGCUGGUCAAAGUGAAGGCACGGCAGAUGUAGUGGAGGAAGUAGUUGCUGUAGAAAUGAUUGGUUUGGAUGGCCAUUGGUGUGCAUUGUCAGUGUUCUACGGAAAGACGCCAAAAAGCUGAAAGUAAUGAGCAACUGAAAGCCAGGUGUGAAAGCUAGAGGCCUUCCUGGUUGCAUGAAGCUCUCAUCUACAGCGAGAAGGCAGAGAAAGCUGAGGACCUAGACCAUGAGCAUUAAGCACCCAGCAAAGGCACGUCUCUCAUGCCAAGGUCAGGCCCUGGAUGGGAUGGAGACAGAUGGGAGAUGAUGAUGAUUUUGACUCCCCAGCUUCCUGUGGACCUUCCGAGCCUACAGAAGUGGCCCAUCCCCAAACCCGCUGGAAGAGCCAACACUCCCAACCUUCUGGAACACAACACAGAAGCCUGCCCCUGAGAAGAGCAUGGGUUCCCUCCUGGGUCACUAGGCCUAUCACUGGCUGAACUCGCAGUACAUAGGGUUAGGGACGCUAAGGGAUUACAUCCCACAGGACCUGCAGGCCCUCACCAGCACCCAGGAACUGAACUCUAAGCUCGAUUGAUCAAGGGGCCAGAAUAUAAAACUGGGUGAAGAAAAGUCUGUUGGCUUGGGAGGGCUCUCUUGACAUGCAGGAUCUAACAUCUUAAGGAUCCCGGGUCAUACUCACUAUUAGAAAAGUGGAAGUUCAUGGAUCACCAGGAUAGGAGGUGGGGAAGCAAAAGGCUUUAGGAUGAACUGUGCAGACCUGGAAAUAACCAGAUACAUCCCACCUCUUUUGGGGAGAGACACGCUACCCAGCCGUGGGGAGUGACCGCUUCGAGCUGGCAGCACCUUGGGGCCUGGCUGGGCUGCCGGGUGCUGCUUUGCCUGGGGUCAUACUCUGCCCGCCCUGCCCAGGCAACCUGCACUGUAACUCAACAUGGACAUGCAGCCCAACAGAGGACACUCUGACAACAGUAAAUGCCCCCAGAGCAACGCACUAGGGCAGCCAGUGCUCUGUCUGUUCUGGGUCAGAUUGCUUCCUCUGCCCAAUUCUGGGUCUUGACUUUUCCCUCGUAAACUUUUGCCAUCCAAAUUCCACUAAGCGUCUGUUUCGGCACCAUGACCUGCGUACCAUACUCCUGGUUUUUAAAGACUCGGAAUGUUCGAGAGGUCAGUUCACUGCUAAAUGCUCUAUAGAUUAUAUGCAACCAUAUCAAAAUCUCCAAAUAUUGAUCUUUAUGCAAUAUUGUUUGCACUAUAACACAUUUAUUUCCAAAGAGUAUUUCCCAUAGUAAGUUUUUGAAAGUAGGAAGUUAACAAAUGUUCUGUGGGGCUGUAUUUAAGGAUUGACAGAUUUGGAAGAGAAAAGCUUUAUAUACUAUGCGAUGUGUGUGUGUGUGUGUGUGUGUGUGUGUGUGUAUGUGUGUGUAUAUAUAUAUAUAUAUAUAUUCAGGACAAAUGCAAACAUUAUUUAAAAAAGUAAAAUAGACGAAAAGAUACAAACACCAUAGAAUGGUAAAGCAAUUCUGAAUUUAUUAGGAAAUGCUGAGGGUGAGAAAUUAUCAAGACACUCUUGAAGAAACAGGAGGUAGGUGGGCGUGCUCUACCAGAUAUGAAAACAGUGUAAAGCUACGGAAAUGAAGACAAUGUGGUUUGGAUACAAAUACAUAAAAAGAAUAGAGAACACAGACACAGUUCCUUUUUGAGUGCUUGAUUUCCUUGAAAGGUGGAACUCUAGACCUGUGGAGGGCGUCUUUGUCAUUAUAUGGUGCUAGGACAGUUGGAUAUCCUUACAGAAAAUGGAACCUGACCACCCCACACCAUAAACAAAAAUUAGCAUCAGGUGGUUUUAGAUCUAACUCUGAAAGACAAAACACUAAAAGCUUCUAGAACAGUGCAGAUGAAGAGAAAAUGGAAACAUUCUAUGACCUGUACUGUCCAAUACAGGUAACUAAAGGAGUGAAUUUUAUGUCAUUUUAAUUAAUUUUCACUUAAAUAGCCCCAAGUGGCUGCCAACAGUUCAGAAUUAGAAGAUAAUAUUGAAGACUGUCUUCAUGACCUGAGGAUAUGAAAGACUUCUUCAAUGGGAUACAAAAACCACUAACCAAAAAGAAAAAAACAAAAACAAAAAAACUGCAUUAAAGUUAAGAAUUUCUAUGCAUUUAAAGAUACCAUGAUAUACUUCAGUAGAGGCACAAAGGCACGUUACAGUAGGAAGAGAGUUUGGCAGGCAAAGUGCUCAUCUCUGGAGUAUUCAAACAACUCUCAGGUCAAAAAGGAAAAAACCCUGAAGAAAAGUAGGUAAAAGAUUUCAACAAGCAGUACAUCAAAGAGAAUAUCCAAAUGACCAAUUAACAUGUUUAAAAGUGUUCAACCUCAUCAAUAAUCAGGGAUAGACAAACUGAAAUCAUAAUGAAUUAUUACAGCACACCGAGCAGAAUUGCUAAAAUCCAAUAAAAAAUUGACAAGGCUAGUGAUAAGACUGGAACAAGAGAAUCUCUCAAAUGGAGUUAGGGAGAGUUUAAAUUGGUAUGACCACUUUGAAAAUCUGUUUGGCAGCAUCUGCUAAAUGGACCUGCACAUAAUCCACCAUUUCACAUUAGGAAUAUGCCUAACAGAAACAUGUGAACUUGUACACCAAAAGACAUGUAUGAGAGUGCUCAUAGUAGCAUUAUUUGUAACAACCAGGAGUUGGGUAGAACCUGUUAGCCACAGCAGGAAAAUAAUCAAAUCAUCAUAUUGUACAACUUAAAUAUAUACAGUUUUAUCUGUCAAUUAUAACUAUAUAAGCUGGGGAAAAGCUACAUAAAAGAGUAUCCAUACAAAAAAAAAUAAAUAAACUACUGUAAGUUACACAAUGGCAUGCUAUGCAGCCAUGAAAAAGAAUAAACAACUGUUACGUUCAACAGCAUGAACAAAUCUUACAAAGGAUGCUAAGCCUAACACACUUUAUUACAAAAGAGUCUGUGCCUUGUAAAUCUAUUUAUACAAAGUUCAAAAUGCAAGUAAAAUUAAGCUAUAGUGUUGAAACAUACACAUUUAGCAAGGCGACGAUUGCGAUAAAAUUCAGGGUUGAGAUCACCUUCACAGGGAGGUAAAAAGCACAUGUGAGCGUUCUGAGUGGCCUGAGGUGACGUUUAUGACAUGGAUCUAUAAUAUGCACUGUUGUCUUAGUUUUUUUUAAGCCUCAGUGAUGGUGGCGCUAGUGGUAAAGAACCUGCCUGCCAAUGGAGGGGACAUAAAAGAUGCAGGUUCGAUCCCUGGGUCAGGAAGAUUCCCUUGGCGGAGGAAAUAACAGCCCACUCCAGUAUUCUUACGUGUAGAAUCCCAUGGACAGAGGAGCCUGGCGGGCUACAGUCCAUAGGGUUGCAAAGAGUCAGGCACGACUGAGGCAACUUAGCGCACGCACACGAUACUCUGUGAAGGGUCCUAACAUUUACCUGCUGGUCCCUGGCCAGACUGGUAUCAAGGACAAUAAUCUGGGGGACAAGAGACAGUGGGGACUGGGCACAAGGUGCCAGUCUGCCGUGGGGCAGCAGAAGCAGCCGUGUGACACAAGCAGCUCUGGGCUUUUCCUUCCAGCCCCAGUGAAGGCAGAUGGAAGGCGCGAUCCUUUACUCUAGUUUCAUGGUUCUGUUAGGGGAAGCACAAUGAUUGAAACCGCCCACCCUGGCCAGGCACCAUAGUAACCAUUUGCAUGCGUUGUUUUACGGCAGGAGGUCCUGGUAAGGAACACAGACCUAAUACGCCACCACCAACCAGAAGAGUUAGGGAAAGGUCAAAAGGAGAUACCACGUGUCCGACCACCUCCCAGAAUCCUUCUCUUUGGCAUCCAUCUUGGCUGAACAAGGCGUGCACCACCAGGAAGGACUCUUGAGUCAGAAUGAUUGGCAGAAGACAACCCGGAAACUAAUCCCAUCACCAUAAAACCCUAGACUGCAAGCCAUGUGACAGAGCUGUUCUCCUGGGUUCCCUUACCCUGCUGCUCUCCCCCGGGGGCCCUUUCCAAUAGAAUCUCUUGCUCUGUCAGCACAUGUGUCUCCUCGGACAGUUCAUUUCCGAGUGUUAGACAAGAGCCCGGUUUCGGGCCCUGGAAGGGGUUCCCCUUCCUGCAACAGUCCUGCCACUCUUCCCAGCUGUCUGUGGGUGCGGCCCCUCAGCUCGUGAAGCAGCUGUGUGGGCAGGGGCUGGGGCAGGAAGGAGGGGCAGUGACUGGGAGGUGUGGCCUUUUCUUUUGGAGUGCCAGAAAUGUUUGAAACCAGACUUGGGGGCUGCACAUCAUGAAGGCGUACUAAAUUUGAUUAAUUUUAUGUGAGUUUCAUCCCAAUUUAAAAACAAAUAAAACUCAUUGGAUAGAUUUAACAAACAAAAGACUAUAUUUUUCUCCUUCCUAACAAAGGAAAUAUAUGCCUUCUGAAAGGAAAUAGAUUUUUAAAGAAUUUCUGGCAUCCUCAAACUUGACUACUUGCUUUUCUCAGUUGUUUUUUUUUAGGUUGUACAAAGCAAGUUUUUUAAGGUGUACCACAUGAUGACUUAACGUGCAUACACAUUGUGAAAUGAUUACAAUAAAUACGUUCAUCUCCUAACCUUUUGAGGGAGGAGUGAGAACACUAAAGAUCCACUCUCUUAGCUGAUUUUGCGUGCUCAGUGCAGUGUUGUUGACUGGAGUUAACAUGCUGUAGUUAGAUCUUUACAACUUCAUCUUCUUAUAACUGAAAGUUUGUGCCCUUUGACCAACCUCUCCCCAUUUCCCCCACUCCCCAGCCCCCGACAACCACCACUCCACUCUCUGGUUCUAGGAGUUUGACUUCUUUAGAUUCCACAUGUAAGUGAGAUCACAGCGUGGUUGUCUUUCUGUGUCCAGCUAGUUUCUCUUCGCAUCCUGUCCUCUGCGUGCAUCCGUGUUGUCUUGCCUUUCAGCCCUUUCUCACAUCUGCCCUUCCCGUCUCCGCUGGCCAGGUAUGCAUAUGAGCCGUGCACAGGCACCUCCACGGGUCUGCCUUUGCCUCUGGCUUUCUGACCUCCUGCAGCCUCUCCCGGAGGGCAGUCGCUGCUUUGCUGAGUCUGCAUCUCUGCUGGCGGUCCUCACAAUGAUCUUGACAGGAAGCUAGGCUUCCUGGGUCCUGAGUCAGCAGAGUGGAAAGGAAAUGAAGGCCACAGAGCAGUCAGAGAGGAAGCUGCCACCCUACAGGCAGAACUGACACUUCUCUGUAGGUCUGGAAGAGAGUCCAGUCCUCUGAUUCCAGAACACGGCUCCUGAAACACUGGCUCCUGGGUCAGCCAACCCUGAGCAAGUCUUCUGCCUCUCUCUGCAGUCAUUUGCCCAGAUAUAAAGUGGGAAUGGCUGUGUAAGGAUCUCAGGCAUCAACAGCCAUGGCCUGGAUAGAAAAAGUCUGCACAAGGGCUAGCGCUAACUCCUUUCAAAAAUUUCUAAGUGGAGAGUUAAAAAAUACCCAUCUAUUUUCUUCCUGCUUUUCCUCUCCAUGAUCCGGUUAAGAACUGAUAUCAAAAGAGCAGACAAAACAAACCUGAAACACCCUAGUAACCUAUAUUUUGGCAUUUUGCAGUUGAACCAAGAUUUCUUUCACGGGAAAGUGGCACUUAAAUAGGAUAAUGUGUUUAAGGACAUUUGCUUCCUAGACCUGAUUGUAACUGGCAAUUGUAUUUAGGGCUCUCAAGUCUAACUCCCCUAUUUUAGUCAUUGAAGGUUCAAAGUGGAGUUUUUUCAUAUGCACAGCAGGAAGUACCCAGUUUAGUGAUGAAUUCUCAUGUGGCAGCCUGGUCUUUAGAAGCGUUAGGGUGUACUGGAAAAGCUUGAACUCAAAGGUGGGUGACCCAGGCUUCAGUUUGGAUGAGUCCCUGGGCUGAUUACUUCGCUUUCCUGGGCUUUCCUGCGUGUUAGAUAGGCACAUUAGAUUAAAUGGUGUUUAAAGUUCCUUCAGUUCAAUAAUUAAGGAUUCCUAAUGUCACCCCCGGAAAAGGCAAUGGAAACCCACUCCAGUACUCUUGCCUGGAGAAUCCCAUGGAUGGAGGAGCAUGGUAGGCUGCAGUCCAUGGAGUCGCUAAGAGUUGGACAUGACUGAGCGACUUCACUUUCAUGCAUUGGAGAAGGAAAUGGCAACCCACUCUAGUAUUCUUGCCUGGAGAAUCCCAGGGACAGAGGAGCCUGUUGGGUACCGUCUAUGGGGUCACAUAGAGUCGGACACAACUGACGUGACUUAACAGCAGCAGCAAUGUCACCCCCCCAAAAUAAAAAGGAGUCAUGAGGGUUUGGGCUAAGAACCAGCCAGGGGGAAAAAUAGGCCCUUAAGGUCCUUUUUUUUUAAGUGUGUUUUUUAAUUACAAGUCGAAUUUCACUUUCAGGGAAAAAACAACCCUUAGGCAUUUUAUGUUCUGUUUGGUUUAACCUUAAUCUUUCUCCCCAGCAGAUAGCUCUUCAGUUGAAGGGCUUGGGGGAGGCUUCUCACACUUGCCACCUACAGGCCAGUUUACAUACCAGAAGGGACUCCCUGGAUUUUACCGAAGGUCGCUGCCAAGAGAGAAGGGGUCACUUUAAAGGGACUCACAUGGAUCCCUGGCGCCACUUCUGACACUGCGGGGCUGGUCCAGCGUGAGGACGGUGGCACGCGCAGGGCUGAAAUGGGUUCCACGCUCAUGACCAAGGGCUUGGCCUCCUGCCCUGUCAUAUGUUACGAACCAAGCAUGUGUUGCUCUCAGUGUGUUUGAAUUGGACAGGCAGUCUGCAGUGCUUGGGUCUAGACUCAGAGACCCCGGGACCCUCCCGCUGCCUUGUCACCUCUUUGAUUGGUAUCUUGCCCACCUCCCACCUCACCCCGAGGCUGUGUUUCUAGAGAACAGAUGAGGCCACAUGGGUGUGACGUCCUGGGAGCAGGCGAGGCCCACGGCGGCUUAAACUCUUCAAAGGGCUUCGAGUUCGGGUCUAAUUGGUGUUCUGCAAAACCUGCAAACGCGCACCAGUUUUAGAUUUGGGAAUUAUCAGCACAGGCAAGGUCCUCCAUCGUGAAAUUCUCCGGAGUAGGGUGGAACAGACUUCCAUAAAGCAAACUCCAGUCUCCCCAGCCUUCUGUGAAAACAUUUGUACCCAAAGACGAGUCCCUUCCAGCUCUCGGAUGCGGUAAUAGAAUCAUUUUUCUCUAAAUGAAGUGCUUUGUGAACCAGCUUGCCUAUACCUUCGGAAACUUCAAGUGCAUAAUUUGACCUCAGUUCAUCCUUUUGCCCCAUAGGCUUGGUUGAAAGGUCAGUAUCCCCGCUGAUUGUCCUCACAAGGAAGAAGCCUUCCAGUCAUUGUGAUGUCCCUGAAGACGGUAGCACAGCCAUGGAUCAAGUUAUCAGGAGUUAUUAAAAUUCCUACUUGCACAGAGUUGGAUUUCCUUUCAGUGUAGCCUGUUUUAUUUUUCUGGCCCUUGUGCUGUGCUCGCUCACACAGCUUAGUUGUAUAAAGGCUUCCGUGACGUCAGGAGUGCAUCCAGCACUACAGAUGACCACUGGAGGCGGACGAUGGUUCCUGACCCCAGACCCAGCUCUGCUUCCCGGAACUCUGCUUAUAGAUGAGGAAGAGGCCUCAGCCCCAGGGACUGCAGAGCCAGCCACCAGUGGCUCCAACAGCUGGACAUCACCCUCCUGCUCUUUGCCCACCCCCCGCCCUUGUUCAAGCCCUCUUGUGCUUUCUUCCCAUCUUUCCCUUUUCCCUGUUUCCCGUCUCUUCCUUUUCUCCCUAUUCAGAUGGAGUGGUACUCAGUUAAGCAGAGGCCGUAGCUGUGUUUCCUCUCGCGUCCUGGCGUCCGUGUGGUCGUUUUCAUUUUCUCCUUCUCUUUGCCAGCAGGGCUUGUCUCCACUUCACCGUCCUUGGCCACCUACCCAGCGGCCUGUCCUUUGUGCCACCUGGCGGCACCAGCGCUGUCUCUGAAGUCAUGGUUGCAGGACUUUCCUCAUAGAGGACAUAUCUCACCUGAGAACACAGGCUUCUUACAUGUCCCGAUUACCAUUCUCUUCCUCUCUAAUUUUUGGAUGGAACUUGACGGCCCAGACUGCAAUGCACAGCCUCUCCUGAAGCUAGAAGUUGCCUUGGAACAAAGGAUGUUACUGAAACUGUUGUGCAGUGUACAGAAAGUGUCCUUAAAUGGGGGUCGUGGAUGCCUUCUUUGUUCCUUUCCAGUUUCUGUUGAUUAGAAUGGAGAUGUGCUGCGUGGAGCUUGAGUCCCCAGCUUGGAUCAUGAGAGCCCAGGCUGCACACAUGCGAGGGGUGUAGCAAGACACGGUCUGAACCUCCCUCCAGACCUGCCCAGUUCUGUUACCCGAGGGAGAAACUAAACUUCUAUCACAUUUGACCACUAUUAUUUUUUAAAGAUACAUAUCCAGAGGUACAUUCUAACAUACGGAAUUUAUAAAUUCAUAUUGCACAUGUCACAUUUAUCUGUACACAGCAGAGGACGGGCCUUGCCAAGAGAACAAGUAGAAAGAAUCUUCCAGAAGUACUGCUGUGUGUCUCAGCGUGUCGUCUCACGAGGCACAUAUGGAGGCCACUGUCCCAUUCCUGGGGAUGUUGAUGCUGAUUGUGGGUUGGAAUGGUGUCUGCUCUGAAAAGUUACUCUCUUUGUAAAAUUAAUAAGCACCUUUGAAGAAGGGCCCUUGGACCCAAUUCCAGUGUGUCUGUGUGACAUACUGUACACCAACAGGCAAUUCUUAGACACCAGUGGGGUGUGCAGGAACUCAACUCCACUCUGACACUUUGGAAAUAGAGUCAGGCUCAUCCCACAAGACGGGCCUCUGCUUCAGAUGCCAGUCACAAGCCCAGGUUGUUUUCACCUGUGCUUCUGACCAACUGAUCACAAAUCAGAGGCUCCCACACCCCCUCCUUGGGUUUCAUUAAGUUUUUAGAAUGGCUCACAGAACUCAGGAAAACUUGUUUGCUCACCAGACUACAAAAAGGGUAUUAAAGGAUAUGAACCAGCCACGAGAUGAGAUACACAGCAUGAGGUAUGGGAAGGGGUCCCUCCAUUCUCACACAUCUCGUGUUCACCAGCCCAGAAGCUCCCCAAACCCUCUCCUGCGGGGUUUUUUUGGAAGCUUCCUUAGACAUGAUUGAUUAAAUCAUUGGCCAUUGGUGAUUCAUUCCACCUGCAGCCCCCUACCACUGAGACAGGGGUGAUACUGAAGUUCUAACCCUCUAAUAUCAUGGCUGGUUUUCCUGGCAACUGAUGCCCACUCUUGGGUGGGAUCCAAAAGUCACUUUCCCCAGAGUGUUUUCAGGAGCUGAGGAAAGACCAAACAUCAUCCCACUGCUCUUAUAGCUCAAGAAAUCCCAAACAUUUGGGGAGUGGGGAGCCGGAACUGUAGAUGAAGUCCAAAUAUAUGAGAAAUAAAUAUUUUAGUGAUCUGAAAGAUCAAAUACUUAUCUCUUUUAAAUCGUGAUGUCACAAUCUUGUGGAAAGACACUUUGAGACUGUGUAGUUGUUGUUUACUCACUAAGUCAGGUCCGACUCUGUGACCCCAUGGACUGUAGCUUGCCAAGCUCCUGUCUGUGGAAUUCUCCAGACUAGAAUACUGGAGUGGGUUUCCAUUCCCUUCACCAGGGGACCUUCCUGGCCCAGGGUUAAAUCUGUGUCUCCUGCCCUGCAGGUGGAUUCCUUGACAUUGAGCCACCUGGGAAACCCGAAAUUGGGUAGAUAUCCCGCUAAUUCUUCAACUUUCACCCACUAACUUGAGCUUCCAAGCUUCCAUUCCUUGCAUGAAGAAAAUAUUACUUUAAUGGCUGCCCAAUAGUGAUAUGAUAACACUUUUUCUCUCAUAUUCUUUCCCAAAGAGGAUUGAAAUUAUUUAUUUUAAGUUUUUAGUUUAUUUAACAUGGGUUCGAUUCCUGGGUCACGAGGAUCCUCUGAAGAAGGCAUGGCAACCUACUCCAGUAUUCUUGUCUGGAGAAUCCCAUGGACAGAGGAACAUGGAGGGCUAUAGUCCACGGGGUCGCAAAGAGCUGGACACGACUGAAACGACUUAGCAGGAGCUGCUUUACCGGCAUGUGAGGGUUGAGAGCAAGAACCCAGGUCACUGUCACAGUCGACACUAAAUAAAAAUAACUGCUGCUGCUGCUGCUGCUGCUAAGUCACUUCAGUCGUGUCCGACUCUGUGCGACCCCAUGGACGGCAGCCCACCAGGCUGUCCCGUCCCUGGGAUUCUCCAGGCAAGAACACUGCAGUGGGUUGCCAUUUCCUUCUCCAAUGCAUGAAAGUGAAAAGUGAAAGUGAAGUCGCUCAGUCGUGUCUGAUUCUUAGCGACCCCAUGGACUGCAGCCUACCAGGCUCCUCUGUCCAUGGCAUUUUCCCGGCAAGAGUACUGGAAUGGGGUGCCAUUGCCUUCUCCGAAAAAAAAUAACUUACUAUUAAGAAAUCUCUGGGGGCCCAGAGCAUGUGUGUGGCGCCAUGCCGGGCCAUGGAUUCAAAAGUAAACGAGACGCACCCGGAUCCUCAGGGAGUUGGGGCAGAAACGUGAGCCUGUAUUUUCUGCAGCGCAGCGAGGGCCGUUGCAGCUGUAGAAGUAGGUACCUUGUGUGGCAGGGCUGGGUUCCUCCUGAGGAUCUUGGAGUGGAAUGAGAGCACUUGAUUUGCUGUCAUAAAGCCACAUGCACACACUGAUUUUUC